UCUGAAACAGAGAAGAGGAAGGAGAGGGAGACAAUAGCAGAGGUACUGGGAAUCCAAAGACAAUUGCAGAAGGACCAGAAUGGCUUCUCCACCUUCACUCAAUCCUGUUCUUGUAGGUCUCAGUAUGAAGCUUAGGAACUAUAUGGCCUUCUAGAAACUGGCAACUUUCCCUUAAAACUGUAACCCAACAACCUUUUUGCAUCUGCAUCAUCUGCAAGGAAUAAGAUAUUGGGAAAGAAGAUCAAGAUGAAGAGCUACCUUAUCUUUCAAGAAGCAGAGCCACACAAAGACUCAUAGCCUGGACAUGAGUUAUUUCUUUCCACAUAUAUUCCAACUCCAUCCAUAUUCAGCAUCCUCUAGCAUCCAUUGGAAACUUGGUGGCACAGUGGAUACAGCACUAGGCCUGGAGUCAAGAAGACCAAAGUUCAAAUCCAGCCUCAGA